rnacentral:lncRNA from 1 species
AUGGCGUUCAGAUCUGAGUGCGAGGUGCUGGAUGGUGGCGGUGGUGUGAUUUGUGUACUGUUAAAAGUGAGAAGAGAGAAGAUGGAAAGAGAGAGUCGAAAGUGAAAUACUUUUGCUCUGAUUGGCAUUCUAAGAAAAUGUGAAACUAUAAUGGAUUGUGGAUGUUUGAAUACAACUGUAGCACCUGCUAUGCUUUGUGUUUUGUUUAAAUCAUAUUAUUUGUUAUAACUCAUUGUUGUCCACCAUUUUUGUGUUUGCAAGACCAAAUCAAAUAGACUGAAAUCCUUUACUAAUAAAAUAAAAAUCUGAAUGCACUAAUCUUCACAAAAUUUUGCUCAAAUCUGCCCCCUGUACCUUUCAUCUGAGA